AGGAAUAACUUCUUUAAAGAACUUCCUAGAUUUCUCCAGGCUUGGUUUCUGACUCAGAUGAACCUGCUACAACCAGUUUCAUUGCAGGAGGGACCUGAACCUGGACCUCUYGGUCUACAACCAUUCUAUUAAAAUCAGAACUAUUUCCAGUUCCUGGCUCUGGGCUCCUCACCUCAGCAAUGUCCUGUCUCCUYCUGCUUUGAGUAUUGAUUUGCUUGCAAAGGAAAUCCAAAGCUCCCACCCAAGUGGAAGCUAAGACUGCAUUAUUCAGCUCUCCAGCAAGUUCUGUGAGUGUCGUAGAGCCAAGGCUGGAUAUAUCUUCUUCUGACUCUGUACCGGAGCUACAGCAGCAUUCAAAAGGGACAACUCUUCAUGCAGCAGGAAUUCARGUUCAACAUUCCCGACAUGCAGGGAUAUAGAGGAUAACCUCCCAUUAAAAGAGUUGGGAACUCCUGCCCUCCACAGGGUCAGGAUCACUUCUUUCCAUUUUGCCUUCACAAAGGCAAAGGAUCUUCCAGGUCAAUCUGCUAAUAACUC